GCGGCAGGCCUAACACAUGCAAGUCGAGCGGAUGAGAAGAGCUUGCUCUUCGAUUCAGCGGCGGACGGGUGAGUAAUGCCUAGGAAUCUGCCUGGUAGUGGGGGACAACGUUUCGAAAGGAACGCUAAUACCGCAUACGUCCUACGGGAGAAAGCAGGGGACCUUCGGGCCUUGCGCUAUCAGAUGAGCCUAGGUCGGAUUAGCUAGUUGGUGGGGUAAUGGCUCACCAAGGCGACGAUCCGUAACUGGUCUGAGAGGAUGAUCAGUCACACUGGAACUGAGACACGGUCCAGACUCCUACGGGAGGCAGCAGUGGGGAAUAUUGGACAAUGGGCGAAAGCCUGAUCCAGCCAUGCCGCGUGUGUGAAGAAGGUCUUCGGAUUGUAAAGCACUUUAAGUUGGGAGGAAGGGCAGUAAGCUAAUACCUUGCUGUUUUGACGUUACCGACAGAAUAAGCACCGGCUAACUCUGUGCCAGCAGCCGCGGUAAUACAGAGGGUGCAAGCGUUAAUCGGAAUUACUGGGCGUAAAGCGCGCGUGGGUGGUUUGUUAAGUUGGAUGUGAAAGCCCCGGGCUCAACCUGGGAACUGCAUCCAAAACUGGCAAGCUAGAGUACGGUAGAGGGUGGUGGAAUUUCCUGUGUAGCGGUGAAAUGCGUAGAUAUAGGAAGGAACACCAGUGGCGAAGGCGACCACCUGGACUGAUACUGACACUGAGGCGCGAAAGCGUG
rnacentral:rRNA from 1 species